rnacentral:rRNA from 1 species
UACGGGGGGGGCAAGCGUUGUUCGGAUUUACUGGGCGUAAAGGGCGCGUAGGCGGCCAGUGCAAGUCAGUUGUGAAAUCUCCGAGCUUAACUCGGAAAGGUCAACUGAUACUGCUCGGCUAGAGUGCGGAAGGGGCAACUGGAAUUCUUGGUGUAGCGGUGAAAUGCGUAGAUAUCAAGAGGAACACCUGCGGCGAAGGCGGGUUGCUGGGCCGACACUGACGCUGAUGCGCGAAAGCUAGGGGAGCGAACGGG